rnacentral:rRNA from 1 species
AUUGAACGCUGGCGGCAGGCCUAACACAUGCAAGUCGAACGGUAACAGGAAGCAGCUUGCUGCUUCGCUGACGAGUGGCGGACGGGUGAGUAAUGUCUGGGAAGCUGCCUGAUGGAGGGGGAUAACUACUGGAAACGGUAGCUAAUACCGCAUAAUGUCGCAAGACCAAAGAGGGGGACCUUCGGGCCUCUUGCCAUCGGAUGUGCCCAGAUGGGAUUAGCUUGUUGGUGGGGUAACGGCUCAACAAGGCGACGAUCCCUAGCUGGUCUGAGAGGAUGACCAGCCACACUGGGACUGAGACACGGUCCAGACUCCUACGGGAGGCAGCAGUGGGGAAUAUUGCACAAUGGGCGCAAGCCUGAUGCAGCCAUGCCGCGUGUAUGAAGAAGGCCUUCGGGUUGUAAAGUACUUUCAGCGGGGAGGAAGGGAGUAAAGUUAAUACCUUUGCUCAUUGACGUUACCCGCAGAAGAAGCACCGGCUAACUCCGUG